GGGCAAUUGGUCUAGUGGUAUGAUUUCCGCUUCGCAUAAACUUUGCUUUGUGGAAGGUCGCGGGUUCAAUUCCCGUAUUGUCCA